UACAGGGGGUGCAAACGUUGCUCGGAAUCAUUGGGCGUAAAGCGCACGUAGGCGGUCUGUCACGUCGGCUGUGAAAACCCGAGGCUCAACCUCGGGCCUGCAGUCGAUACGGGCAAACUAGAGUACUGCAGGGGAGACUGGAAUUCCUGGUGUAGCGGUGAAAUGCGCAGAUAUCAGGAGGAACACCGGUGGCGAAGGCGGGUCUCUGGGCAGUAACUGACGCUGAGGAGCGAAAGCGUGGGGAGCGAACAGG
rnacentral:rRNA from 1 species